UGGUUUCGGUGAUAGACUCUUCCGCCUUAACGUAACGUUAGACGAUUAUCCUGAUGAUUGACAUCUGGUUCAAACUAACGAGACGUUUUGAGCACCGAUCCGCCUUUGAGUACCCGAGAGCCUGAUGUCAAUCAUUUGUUUCCCUCUUAAAUUUUCAGGUGGCUGCCACAUACACUGAUGUUGAGAGGAGCUUCACUCUACCAGCCACUCCACGGCUUAAUGUCCUUGUCCACGACAAACAGGCAGUGGAUGAUCGGCAUUGAGGGACGCCUGGUCUGUGAGAACCUUCAGCCAACUUUUGGGUCAGGACUUGUUUGCCGUGUUCUACAUCUUCAACAUCCAGUAUCAAGGGCUCAGUGUUGGGCAUGACAGUCACUCGUUUUGGUCUCGAGUCACGCACUCCCGCCACACAUCCAAUUCCUCAUACCACGCUGGUCACUCCCCCCUCCGUAGCGUCCGCGCCAACCCUCCCUGUCGACCGUCAUGUCUUACUGGAACUUACAAGAGUAUCCACUGAGUAGUCACUGGAUCAAGUACGACGGCCGGUUGCUGUGGUCAACUAAAAGUGGUCUUGUUCCAGAUUAGUUCAGCUGGUUCCUAAUGAUUUCAUGGGUAAUGUUUUUAUUAUUGUACACAUGUAUUUAUAUAUAU
ensembl:lncRNA